AGAACGAACGCUGGCGGCGUGGAUAAGACAUGCAAGUCGAGCGGGAUAAGUUUUGUAGCAAUACAAGACUUGUCUAGCGGCGAACGGGUGCGUAACACGUGAGAACCUGCCCAAAAGAGGGGGAUAGCCCGCCGAAAGGCGGAUUAAUACCGCAUAUUAACAAAGCAGCAAUGCGCUUUGGAUGGGCUCGCGGCCUAUCAGCUAGAUGGUGAGGUAAUGGCUCACCAUGGCGAUGACGGGUAGCUGGUCUGAGAGGACGACCAGCCACACUGGGACUGAGACACGGCCCAGACACCUACGGGUGGCAGCAGUCGAGAAUUUUUCACAAU
rnacentral:rRNA from 1 species